AUGACGGGAGAAAUGGCGAUGGAGAAGCGUCGGCGUCGGCACGCACCACCGGCGGUCGCCUCCUCCUCUUCGUCGACCGCCGAGGCCUCCGGCCACACGCCGUCCCCUCCGGCAGACCUCCUCCCAGACAUCGCCCGUCGCCUGACCUCCCUGGAGGACUUCUUCUCCCUCCGCGCCUCCUGCCGUGACUACCGCGCCCUCCUCCCGGCGUCCCGCCCCCACCUCGCCUCCCAGGCCCCGCUCCUCCUCGUCUCCCUCUACCCCUCCUUCGCCGAGGCGCUCUUCCACCCCCGCCUCCGCCGCCUCCACCGCUUCCGCCUCCCCUGGGGCCACCACCUGCCCCCCUCCCGCUUCACCCUCCUCUACGCCCACGGCUUCCUCGUCACCGCCACCACCGCGGCCGCCCAGUACCCCCCCAGGCUCCUCCUCCUCCACCUCUUCACCGGCGACCAGCAGCGCCUCCCCAGGGUCCCCACCCCCUUCUCCCGGGCCAUCCUCUCUGCCGACCUCCUCGUCGUGCUCUUCCUGCCCGGCAGGUCCACCGUCCAGCACUGCCGCCCCGGGGAUGCGCUCUGGCGUGUGGCCACCGCCGAUGCACCCCACGUGUUCGACGAUUUGAUCUUCGUUGACGCCACCCUCUACGCCCUGGUUGGCCUCCGUCUCGCCACGCUGGAGCUGUCCGAAAGUUCGCUGGAGCUGUCAUUCCUUGGAGGAGAGUAUGAUGAGGAGAACAGGCCGGUGGGGGAGCGGUUCAUGCUUGGGGAGUGCGACGGCGAGGUGUUGCUCAUCAGCGAGGAGCAGGCAGAGACGGUUGUGUACCGUGUUUUCCGGUGGGUGCCUGGGGAGGGAAAGUGGGUGAUGAUAACAAGCUUGGGUGGGCGAACAUUGUUUCUUGGGUUCCAUGGAUUCGCGGCUUGCAUCGGCCCAGGUUUCCCUGAGAUUCGAGGUGAUUGCAUAUAUGCAGCUGGGCGACGCUUGGGUGAAUGGUUCGAGUAUUCCUUGGUUAAUGGAACUUGUGAUGUCUGCUAUGCUGAAUAUGUGGGCGCACCACCCCUGAACAGCGAUUCACCUCUCAGACCUCCGGUUUGGGUCUUCCCCAGCUUGGUGCCAGCCUGA
rnacentral:rRNA from 1 species